rnacentral:rRNA from 1 species
GUGAGGAAUAUUGGUCAAUGGGCGGGAGCCUGAACCAGCCAAGUCGCGUGAAGGAAGAAGGAUCUAUGGUUCGUAAACUUCUUUUGCAGGGGAAUAAAGUGCAGGACGUGUCCUGUUUUGUAUGUACCCUGAGAAUAAGGAUCGGCUAACUCCGUGCCAGCAGCCGCGGUAAUACGGAGGAUCCGAGCGUUAUCCGGAUUUAUUGGGUUUAAAGGGUGCGGAGGUGGUUUGAUAAGUCAGCGGUGAAAGUUUGCAGCUUAACUGUAAAAAUGCCGUUGAAACUGUCGGACUUGAGUGUAAAUGAGGUAGGCGGAAUGCGUGGUGUAGCGGUGAAAUGCAUAGAUAUCACGCAGAACUCCGAUUGCGAAGGCAGCUUACUAAGCUACAACUGACACUGAAGCACGAAAGCGUGGGGAUCAAACAGGAUUAGAAACCCGAGUAGUCC